AGAGGGAUAGCUGGGUCAAAUGGUGGUUCCUAUCCACGUUUUCUGAGGAAUCUCCAUACUGCUUUCCAUGUUGGCUAUACCAAUUUGCAGUCCCACCAGCAAU
rnacentral:pre_miRNA from 1 species